rnacentral:rRNA from 1 species
GAUGAACGCUGGCGGCGUGCCUAAUACAUGCAAGUCGAGCGAACAGACGAGGAGCUUGCUCCUCUGACGUUAGCGGCGGACGGGUGAGUAACACGUGGAUAACCUACCUAUAAGACUGGGAUAACUUCGGGAAACCGGAGCUAAUACCGGAUAAUAUAUUGAACCGCAUGGUUCAAUAGUGAAAGACGGUUUUGCUGUCACUUAUAGAUGGAUCCGCGCCGCAUUAGCUAGUUGGUAAGGUAACGGCUUACCAAGGCAACGAUGCGUAGCCGACCUGAGAGGGUGAUCGGCCACACUGGAACUGAGACACGGUCCAGACUCCUACGGGAGGCAGCAGUAGGGAAUCUUCCGCAAGGGGCGAAAGCCUGACGGAGCAACGCCGCGUGAGUGAUGAAGGUCUUCGGAUCGUAAAACUCUGUAUUAGGGAAGAACAAAUGUGUAAGUAACUAUGCACGUCUUGACGGUACCUAAGCAGAAAGCCACGGCUAACUACGU